AUGGCAACACAGCCUUCUGGUGUGUCAGCCACUCCUUCCAAUUUAGUAUCACCACCCAUUUGCUGCUGGCAUUUCCAUCAUUCUAUUUCCCAUCUCUCAGUUUUCCAUUUAGUUCUACACUCUCAGAAAAGCGCUUUCCCUGGAGUCCACUAAAGUUACUUUUUCUGAAGGAAUUACAUCCUUUAAAAGAAGAGAACCAAACAAAAACAUCUAGUAAAACUGGGACUUCUUAUCUGACCUCCUGUGACAUCUAAAGCCACAGAUGUGCUCAGAAUCUGGCAUGCCUUUUCCUGUGCCCUGCUCCCGAGCUGGCAUGAAGAACAUGAAGCCUAAAUAGUGUGUUCCAGUGGUCAAUAGAAACGUGGUCAUAUGGUCCGCCUCAUCUUCUUUGUUUUGGAAAGAGAGCCUGCUCCAAACCCACUCAAGCCAACAGCAUAAGCAGAAAUAGCAUAUGCCAUUCAGUAUAACCAGCUGGGAACUUCACCUCCUACAUCCUUCUCUAGAAGCUAUGUUUAAGGAAUUCAUGGAAACUCGGCUGAGAAGCAACCCAGGAAUCAUCUCUGUGAGUGUCUGCCUGCCACUGCCAUGGAGCUGCAGCACAACUACAAGUGUUUCUUUAUGUAGUCUCCCCAUUUUAUUAUAAGAAAAAUAAAAAUAGGUAUGUUCCUUAAUUUUUUCUCACGUCUGGGGAGACCAGUCCAGUCCAUCAGUUUUUGCAGUACUUCUUAAGACCUUAUUAAUUUUGCAACACCUUUUUUGACAGAUUGGGGUCUGGGUCUGUGUGCCAUAUUCUGGUAUCUUUCUUACUAUUCAUGUAUUUAGAAAUAAAGUUGGCAUCCUGCUGUUUUCAGUCCCCCUUUCUCAUCUAAAUUCUCAGUUAAGCUUCAUCCUGACCUUUAUCAAAGAAGCAAGGGUGAAGGAGUCUUUAGCCUUCUGGCAAGAUAUGUAGAACAAGCCUGUUCAACUGUUCCCACCUAAAAAAGUGGCUAUUUUUUUUAUUUUUGUUGUUGUGGGGUGGUUUUUCUGUCCUUUUUUGUUUGUUUGUUGUUUUGUUUUGUUUUUUACUUUUGCUGGCUACUUAUUCCACUUAACCCUGGCAACAUGCAAAGGCUCCAGUCUUUUACCAAUGAAGAGAAAGGGAAUUAUACCACCCUAUAGGCAAAGGACCAGUGGCUACCACAUACCUGACUCUUCCACAUGGGAGAAUGAAGACAGAAAGGUAAAAUGGAAAAAAACCCAAGGAAGCUGGGGGAUCAACAUAUCUUCUGCUGCUAUAAAUAUGUAUUUGAGUUGUCUAUUCCUCUGUAGAAGGAACCCUUUGUUAAUUUAAAGUACUUUUACACCCUUGCAGAGAUAU